rnacentral:tRNA from 1 species
GCACCCGUAGCUCAGCUGGAUAGAGCAUCCGCCUUCUAAGCGGAUGGUCGUGUGUUCGAAUCACACUGGGGCU